rnacentral:misc_RNA from 1 species
CUGCUCCAUUUUUCCCUCGCCUCUGCUCUCUCGGCUGCUGUCAGCCAUGGCGUGACGCCUCUGCUCCUUCUCUCUUCCCCACAAAACAACCAGCGCGCAGGAGCUUCUCCUUCAUGGACGCUGACCAGGCUGGUCCCUCGCCCCCUUCUCUCCCCUUGUCCGCGACCUUCUCUGCCCGCGCGCAAAGCCGCUGACCGGAGCGCGGCAUGGCAGCGCCGCCCUUUCGUGGAUGAAGCUAGUGCCCCUUUCAGCUUCUCCACUGCAGCAGGCCGGGCAUCCCCAUGCCUGCGCCUUCCCUCUCUUGCCGUGCCUUCCCCAUGGUCAGGAUCAGCGGCAGAAGUCGUGUGCUACCUGUUAGAUGAUAUGGGCAGCAACCACGCUUCGCAGCUCCUUGCAACAGCAAUCAAUCCCUGCCGCAUGCCACCUGCUCGAUAUAUUACGCAGCCACAUCGUCGUUGCCCUUUCUCGCAGCACGCCGUUGUUGGUUCUAGGUGCUGCUACCUACAUCCCUCGCACUCACCUUGCUCGACAAAAAUGCCUCCCCGUUCGUUGACCUCGGGUGGCUGCACACUUGUUGUCGCUGCCCCUUGUCCGUCAACGCGCAGCCCCUCUGUUUCCCCAUUGGCGCAGCAGCCCCGACGUCUCCGCGCUCUGUCGGCUCGCUGUUUUGUGAAGCCAGUGGACAGCACGCCGUCGACGCUCGCUGGGUGUUUGCUGUUUUUGCGCAGCCCCAUCCGCGACGUCGUCGAAACCCGUGCUAGUGGUCGACGCCGCGCUUCGCGCCUUGCUCGUUCGAUGAAAUACCGAGCCAUGUGGACAGCCCAUGCGUCUAGUCACGACCCGUUCAGGACCGAGAGAUGA